UACAGAGGAGCCAAGCGUUGUCCGGAUUGACUGGGCGUAAAGCGCACGCAGGCGGACGCGCGCGUGGGGUGUGAAAUCUGGCCGCUUAACGGCCAGGCGCCAUCCCAUACGGCGCGUCUGGAGCCAUGCAGAGGGCGGUGGAAUUGCCGGUGUAGUGGUGAAAUGCGUAGAGAUCGGCAGGAACACCCAGGGGGAAACCAGCCGCCUGGGCAUGCGCCGACGCUGAGGUGCGAGAGCGUGGGGAGCGAACCGG
rnacentral:rRNA from 1 species